rnacentral:rRNA from 1 species
CUACGUGCCAGCAGCCGCGGUAAUACGGAAGGUCCAGGCGUUAUCCGGAUUUAUUGGGUUUAAAGGGAGCGUAGGCUGGAGAUUAAGUGUGUUGUGAAAUGUAGACGCUCAACGUCUGAAUUGCAGCGCAUACUGGUUUCCUUGAGUACGCACAACGUUGGCGGAAUUCGUCGUGUAGCGGUGAAAUGCUUAGAUAUGACGAAGAACUCCGAUUGCGAAGGCAGCUGACGGGAGCGCAACUGACGCUUAAGCUCGAAGGUGCGGGUAUCAAACAGGAUUAGAUACCCUGGUAGUCCGCACAGUAAACGAUGGAUGCCCGCUGUUGGUACCUGGUAUCAGCGGCUAAGCGAAAGCAUUAAGCAUCCCACCUGGGGAGUACGCCGGCAACGGUGAAACUCAAAGGAAUUGACGGGGGCCCGCACAAGCGGAGGAACAUGUGGUUUAAUUCGAUGAUACGCGAGGAACCUUACCCGGGCUUGAACUAA